UCCGGUGACUAUAGCAAAGAGGCAACACCUGUUCCCAUCUCGAACACAGUAGUUAAGCUCUUUAGCGCUAAUGAUACUUGGCGGGCAGCUGCCUGGGAAAGUAGGACGUUGCCGGUU
rnacentral:rRNA from 1 species